rfam:Anas platyrhynchos breed Pekin duck contig71272, whole genome shotgun sequence.
GCAAUGGCUUUUUUGAAAGCCAUUUAACAAUUUUCAAUAGGCUAAAU